CCUACGGGAGGCAGCAGUGGGGAAUAUUGGACAAUGGGGGGAACCCUGAUCCAGCCAUGCCGCGUGUGUGAAGAAGGCCCUCGGGUUGUAAAGCACUUUCAGUGAGGAAGAACGCCUGGUGGUUAAUACCCAUCAGGAAAGACAUCACUCACAGAAGAAGCACCGGCUAACUCCGUGCCAGCAGCCGCGGUAAUACGGAGGGUGCGAGCGUUAAUCGGAAUUACUGGGCGUAAAGCGCGCGUAGGUGGCUUGAUAAGCCGGUUGUGAAAGCCCCGGGCUCAACCUGGGAACGGCAUCCGGAACUGUCAAGCUAGAGUGCAGGAGAGGAAGGUAGAAUUCCCAGUGUAGCGGUGAAAUGCGUAGAGAUCGGGAGGAAUACCAGUGGCGAAGGCGGCCUUCUGGACUGAAACUGACACUGAGGUGCGAAAGCGUGGGUAGCAAACAGGAUUAGAUACCCUAGUAGUC
rnacentral:rRNA from 1 species